AGUGAACGCUGGCGGCGUGCUUAACACAUGCAAGUCGAGCGAAGUGGUAGCUGUAGCAAUACAGUGUACGCUUAGCGGCAGACGGGUGAGUAACACGUAGGGAACCUUCCUCAUUGCGGGGGAUAGCCAGCCGAAAGGCUGGGUAAUACCGCGUAAGAUCUGUUAGAGGCACCUUUGACAGAUGAAACAUUCGCAAGAAUGGCAAUGUGAGGGCCCUGCGGCCUAUCAGCUAGUUGGUGAGGUAACGGCUCACCAAGGCAACGACGGGUAACCGGCCUGAAAGGGCGAACGGUCACACUGACACUGAGACACGGGUCAGACACCUACGGGUGGCAGCAGUGAGGAAUCUUGGACAAUGGGGGAAACCCUGAUCCAGCGACGCCGCGUGGAGGACGAAGGUCUUCGGAUUGUAAACUCCUUUUGUUCGGGAAUAAGAAAUCUAUGGAAACAUGGAGAGUGAAUGUACCGGAUGAAUAAGCCACGGCUAACUUCGUGCC
rnacentral:rRNA from 1 species